GGACAUUGCCAGCACUCUGAUCAGCCAUGCCGCGUGCAGGAAGACUGCCCUAUGGGUUGUAAACUGCUUUUAUACAGGAAGAAACACCUCUACGUGUAGAGGCUUGACGGUACUGUAAGAAUAAGGAUCGGCUAACUCCGUGCCAGCAGCCGCGGUAAUACGGAGGAUCCAAGCGUUAUCCGGAAUCAUUGGGUUUAAAGGGUCCGUAGGUGGAUAAUUAAGUCAGAGGUGAAAGUCUGCAGCUCAACUGUAGAAUUGCCUUUGAUACUGGUUAUCUUGAAUUAUUAUGAAGUAGUUAGAAUAUGUAGUGUAGCGGUGAAAUGCAUAGAUAUUACAUAGAAUACCAAUUGCGAAGGCAGAUUACUAAUAAUCAAUUGACACUGAUGGACGAAAGCGUAGGUAGCGAAAGGGAUUAGAUACCCCCUGUAGUCAACA
rnacentral:rRNA from 1 species